AUGGGGACUCCACACAGCAAGCCAACGGAACAGACGACCUCAUCACAUGUACCUCCAGGCCCGAUGGAGGGGACAAAUGUUGACGACUCUAACGAAGGGAUUAUACCCGUAGCCGACGAUGUUGACAAAAUUUACCCACGUAGUCCAGGAGUCCAUAUUACUCCCUCGGAACGGAUGAUAUUUGAGACCGAUGGUGAUAGCACAUAUGAUACACCAGGCCCGAUGGAGGGGACAAAUGUUGACGACUCUAACGAAGGGGUUAUACAUGUAGCCGACAAUGUUCACAAGAUUUACCCAAGUAGUCCAGGAGUCCAUAUUACUCCCUCGGAAUGGAUGAUACUUGAACAGACCGAUUGUGAAAGGACAUAUGUUCAUCAACCUUCCCAUCUGAUUACGGACAACCACCCAAUCUCAUUCCUAUAUACUGUAGAUUCGUUGCCAGAUCUCAGUAAUCUGACAAAAGAACUAGCUAGCAUGCAACGUGAUAACGAGGAAAAGAGGCCGCAGAAUGUUCCACGCCAUCCUCUCAGUGAUAUCACUAAUGCUUAUCAACCAUCCUCUAUGGACCUUGACGAAAAAAGAGAGCUGAUAAAAGCUCGGAGGCGAGCUGCUUAUCAAAAGAAAAAAGAAGAGCCUAUCGUCAAGCAACAAGAUGAAAAUCUGUCUGCCCUUACGAUAUCAGAUGUGCAAAAUGUUACCCUGUCCCCUCUCGGUGAUAUCGCUAAUGGGUGUCAACCUACCUCGGUGGACCUUGACGAGAAAAAAGAGCAAAUAAAUGCUCGGAGGCGAGCUGCUUAUCGAAAGAAGAAAGAGGAGGCUACCUUCAAGCAACAAGAUGGAAAUUUGUCUUCCCUUACGAUAUCAGAUAUGCAAAAUGUACCCCUGUUACCUCUCGGUGAUAUCACUAAUGGGUGUCAACCAACCUCGGUGGACCUUGACGAGAAAAAAGAGCAAAUAAAGGCUCGGAGGCGAGCUGCUUAUCGAAAGAAAAAAGAGGAGGCAGCCAGCAAGCAACAAGAUGAAAAUCUGGCUGCCCUUACGAAAUCAGAUAUCCAAAAUGUUCCCCUGUUACCUCUCGGUGAUAUCACUAAUGGGUGUCAACCAACCUCGGUGGACCUUGAUGAGAAAAAAGAGCAAAUAAAGGCUCGGAGGCGAGCUGCUUAUCGAAAGAAAAAAGAGGAGGCAGCCACCAAGCAACAAGAUGAAAAUCUGCCUGCCCUUACGAAAUCAGCCAACCCAACAACGUCUAGCUAUACAUCAUGGUCAUAUGAUGAUGCCCCAUUGCCUCCUUCAACUGCAUCUGGUGUCAUUCAUGAUAAAAAACAAGCUAGGCGUCAAAAUGAUAAAGAACGCAAGCGUAACUUAAGGUUAAGGGACGGGCAAAGGGAGCAGGAAAAUGCGCAGAGGCGAGCAGAUUAUCGGAAGAAUGUGGAUAACGGAACGAUCGAUCUUCAACAAAAAAAUCAAAAUCAAAGAGAAUGGCGCAUGCAACACCGAGAAAGCAUGACUUCUGAUGAGAAGGGCGAGUCGAGUGCUCAGAGAAAGGCAAAGUAUGCUGCAAAGAAAAACACUCUGUGUGCUGAAUCGAUCGCAAUGCCGCGUCCAGAUCUAACUAGCACAAUGUCUGACUCUCACGCAGCACCUGACUUUCGGUCCACAUCUGUGUGUCUAGAUGGGGGCCCUGCAAUGAGUAUGCCGACGUACCCUGUCGGUACCGACGGCAUCAUGCGGGAGGAUCGUGCUCCUACCGUCAAGGCAGCCCCCACAUACAUUCGUAACAUCGAAACCGAUGGUGCCUAUCUAAGCAGAACCUUAGGUGAUGGUGCUGUAGAUGGCAACCUCAGCAAAAUCAAUGAGCACCUAACAAGUGCCGACCAGCAAACCAGUCAUCCGCUAACAAUAGCGGAUAAUGGAGCUGACCAGCAGAGGCAUGAGUCCAAAACUCAGCCUAGGACGAGAGAGCGAUCUUGCAAGGGAAGUAUGGCGGCGAAGAAGUGUCAGGAGAAAAUUGGCAAGCGGAAAUCAUGUACGAAGGUGCCACGUGGUGAGAGGAACGCUCUGCUAGAUCGUCGUAAUGAAAGCUUUGCGGGUAGGGUGAAGACCCCAACCGUCAGGUCCAUCUCCAUACCGGAAAUGAGCUCAACUGGACAACCUACCGUAGUUGAAGCACACGGUGCCUCAACCUCAUCUAGCACGCCGGAGUACACGAUCAGAAGUGAAAACGACAUGGACGCUUACCUUAGUCGUCUCAUGAAUGAUAAUGUCAACCCUGACAACCUCUUUGACGAUGAGUAUUACCUGUUUGCUGCUGAAGGCUCAGAUGCUGAUGACAUGGAGCACGACGAAUUGGAAGACUCAAGUCACAAUAGCUAUGUCGACCAUGAUCCAUUGGACUAUGUCUACUCAAACCUCCCAGACCACACACACAUCCUGAAGCAUGCCGCGAACUGCGUUCACUGCAAGGCCAAGAAGUUUGUGUCUGAGGCCUCGGGAUUCUGCUGUCGCAGUGGGCAGAUCGAGCGGAAGCAACCGGAGCUAAUGAGGCUUUGGUCUAGCAUGGAUGCGGACUCAAGGCAUUUUCGGGAGAACAUACGGUUCUUCAACGGCCACUUCUCCUUCACAACCCUCGGCGUCAGCCUCGAUGAAAGCUACACAAACAUGAAGUCUGGGGUGUACACGUUUCGGGCGCACGGCACCAUCUACCACAACGUUCAUUCCUUCGGGCCAACAUCCCGUCCAGAGCAUCUACAGUUGUACUUCUAA
rnacentral:rRNA from 1 species